UACGUAGGGACCAAGCGUUGUUCGGAUUUACUGGGCGUAAAGGGCGCGUAGGCGGCAAUUCAAGUCAGCUGUGAAAUCUCCGGGCUUAACUCGGAACGGUCAGCUGAUACUGCUUUGCUAGAGUGCAGAAGGGGCAAUCGGAAUUCUUGGUGUAGCGGUGAAAUGCGUAGAUAUCAAGAGGAACACCUGAGGUGAAGACGGGUUGCUGGGCUGACACUGACGCUGAGGCGCGAAAGCCAGGGGAGCAAACGGG
rnacentral:rRNA from 1 species